rnacentral:rRNA from 1 species
CGAUUGUCUGGAAUAACCGGCCGAAAGGCUGGCUAAUACUGGAUAGAGCGAGGAAAUUCGUAAUUGGAUUUUUCGGGAAAGGGAGCUCGUAAGAGCCUUCGCAGUCAGAUGAGCCUGCGUCUCAUUAGCUAGUUGGUGGGGUAAUGGCCCACCAAGGCUUUGAUGGGUAGCUGGUCUGAGAGGAUGAUCAGCCACACUGGAACUGAAACACGGUCCAG